rnacentral:rRNA from 1 species
GGUUAAGCGACUAAGCGUACACGGUGGAUGCCCUGGCAGUCAGAGGCGAUGAAGGACGUGCUAAUCUGCGAUAAGCGUCGGUAAGGUGAUAUGAACCGUUAUAACCGGCGAUUUCCGAAUGGGGAAACCCAGUGUGAUUCGUCACACUAUCAUUAACUGAAUCCAUAGGUUAAUGAGGCGAACCGGGGGAACUGAAACAUCUAAGUACCCCGAGGAAAAGAAAUCAACCGAGAUUCCCCCAGUAGCGGCGAGCGAACGGGGAGCAGCCCAGAGCCUGAAUCAGUGUGUGUGUUAGUGGAAGCGUCUGGAAAGGCGCGCGAUACAGGGUGACAGCCCCGUACACAAAAAUGCACAUACUGUGAGCUCGAUGAGUAGGGCGGGACACGUGGUAUCCUGUCUGAAUAUGGGGGGACCAUCCUCCAAGGCUAAAUACUCCUGACUGACCGAUAGUGAACCAGUACCGUGAGGGAAAGGCGAAAAGAACCCCGGCGAGGGGAGUGAAAAAGAACCUGAAACCGUGUACGUACAAGCAGUGGGAGCACGCUUAGGCGUGUGACUGCGUACCUUUUGUAUAAUGGGUCAGCGACUUAUAUUCUGUAGCAAGGUUAACCGAAUAGGGGAGCCGAAGGGAAACCGAGUCUUAACUGGGCGUUAAGUUGCAGGGUAUAGACCCGAAACCCGGUGAUCUAGCCAUGGGCAGGUUGAAGGUUGGGUAACACUAACUGGAGGACCGAACCGACUAAUGUUGAAAAAUUAGCGGAUGACUUGUGGCUGGGGGUGAAAGGCCAAUCAAACCGGGAGAUAGCUGGUUCUCCCCGAAAGCUAUUUAGGUAGCGCCUCGUGAAUUCAUCUCCGGGGGUAGAGCACUGUUUCGGCAAGGGGGUCAUCCCGACUUACCAACCCGAUGCAAACUGCGAAUACCGGAGAAUGUUAUCACGGGAGACACACGGCGGGUGCUAACGUCCGUCGUGAAGAGGGAAACAACCCAGACCGCCAGCUAAGGUCCCAAAGUCAUGGUUAAGUGGGAAACGAUGUGGGAAGGCCCAGACAGCCAGGAUGUUGGCUUAGAAGCAGCCAUCAUUUAAAGAAAGCGUAAUAGCUCACUGGUCGAGUCGGCCUGCGCGGAAGAUGUAACGGGGCUAAACCAUGCACCGAAGCUGCGGCAGCGACACUAUGUGUUGUUGGGUAGGGGAGCGUUCUGUAAGCCUGUGAAGGUGUACUGUGAGGUAUGCUGGAGGUAUCAGAAGUGCGAAUGCUGACAUAAGUAACGAUAAAGCGGGUGAAAAGCCCGCUCGCCGGAAGACCAAGGGUUCCUGUCCAACGUUAAUCGGGGCAGGGUGAGUCGACCCCUAAGGCGAGGCCGAAAGGCGUAGUCGAUGGGAAACAGGUUAAUAUUCCUGUACUUGGUGUUACUGCGAAGGGGGGACGGAGAAGGCUAUGUUGGCCGGGCGACGGUUGUCCCGGUUUAAGCGUGUAGGCUGGUUUUCCAGGCAAAUCCGGAAAAUCAAGGCUGAGGCGUGAUGACGAGGCACUACGGUGCUGAAGCAACAAAUGCCCUGCUUCCAGGAAAAGCCUCUAAGCAUCAGGUAACAUCAAAUCGUACCCCAAACCGACACAGGUGGUCAGGUAGAGAAUACCAAGGCGCUUGAGAGAACUCGGGUGAAGGAACUAGGCAAAAUGGUGCCGUAACUUCGGGAGAAGGCACGCUGAUAUGUAGGUGAAGUCCCUCGCGGAUGGAGCUGAAAUCAGUCGAAGAUACCAGCUGGCUGCAACUGUUUAUUAAAAACACAGCACUGUGCAAACACGAAAGUGGACGUAUACGGUGUGACGCCUGCCCGGUGCCGGAAGGUUAAUUGAUGGGGUCAGCGCAAGCGAAGCUCUUGAUCGAAGCCCCGGUAAACGGCGGCCGUAACUAUAACGGUCCUAAGGUAGCGAAAUUCCUUGUCGGGUAAGUUCCGACCUGCACGAAUGGCGUAAUGAUGGCCAGGCUGUCUCCACCCGAGACUCAGUGAAAUUGAACUCGCUGUGAAGAUGCAGUGUACCCGCGGCAAGACGGAAAGACCCCGUGAACCUUUACUAUAGCUUGACACUGAACAUUGAGCCUUGAUGUGUAGGAUAGGUGGGAGGCUUUGAAGUGUGGACGCCAGUCUGCAUGGAGCCGACCUUGAAAUACCACCCUUUAAUGUUUGAUGUUCUAACGUUGACCCGUGAUCCGGGUUGCGGACAGUGUCUGGUGGGUAGUUUGACUGGGGCGGUCUCCUCCUAAAGAGUAACGGAGGAGCACGAAGGUUGGCUAAUCCUGGUCGGACAUCAGGAGGUUAGUGCAAUGGCAUAAGCCAGCUUGACUGCGAGCGUGACGGCGCGAGCAGGUGCGAAAGCAGGUCAUAGUGAUCCGGUGGUUCUGAAUGGAAGGGCCAUCGCUCAACGGAUAAAAGGUACUCCGGGGAUAACAGGCUGAUACCGCCCAAGAGUUCAUAUCGACGGCGGUGUUUGGCACCUCGAUGUCGGCUCAUCACAUCCUGGGGCUGAAGUAGGUCCCAAGGGUAUGGCUGUUCGCCAUUUAAAGUGGUACGCGAGCUGGGUUUAGAACGUCGUGAGACAGUUCGGUCCCUAUCUGCCGUGGGCGCUGGAGAACUGAGGGGGGCUGCUCCUAGUACGAGAGGACCGGAGUGGACGCAUCACUGGUGUUCGGGUUGUCAUGCCAAUGGCACUGCCCGGUAGCUAAAUGCGGAAGAGAUAAGUGCUGAAAGCAUCUAAGCACGAAACUUGCCCCGAGAUGAGUUCUCCCUGACUCCUUGAGAGUCCUGAAGGAACGUUGAAGACGACGACGUUGAUAGGCCGGGUGUGUAAGCGCAGCGAUGCGUUGAGCUAACCGGUACUAAUGAACCGUGAGGCUUAACCUU